UAAUUGCCCACUAGGAAUUAUAAAUUAUAGUUCUCACGCCCUCUGUUUUAUGUUUUCUUUCAGAGCCUUCCACGCCGGGAGAGGCUAGGGACCGCGGGAAGGGAGUUGCUUCGAGCUAGCUUCCUUCGAGGACGAUUUGAUAGGUGGUCUACCUCUCGUGGUUUUAUUUUGUGAGAGGUUGUGAGUUGUACCCGUUUAUGUAUAGAGACCACCCUUCUUUUGGAUCUUUGUUUUUCUUUUUGAGGAGAUAGUACUGUACUACUUUAUGGCUACUUUUAUUGUUUAGUUAUGUUUCUUUUACUCUGGUUUAGAUGAUAGAACUUUACUCGCUCUAAUAUCAUUAGUUAUCACUAUGCUAUUUGUUCUACUUCUUGCUUUACUUCCGCUUUUGUUGUAGACGCCUUAUAUGUGUAGACAUAUGGCGGGUAUGGGCGCGCUACCGGGAAGGCCUUCGCCGGUCCCGGGGCGUGACAAUCGAAUCCCCGCUCAAAUAACAAAACCCAAAUCACGCGAAAGUAAGGAAGUGUUAUCCACAACUAACUCCCGAUGUUACGUUGUCGGCCGCCAACGUAACCCUCCGCGAAGUUAGAAGCCAUACACUCCGGUCAAACUCUAACUUUUUAGAGUUAUCAUAACCCAAUCAUAAUACUUUCGGUCAUAAGUCAAUUAGAUAUCGUCUCUCGCGAGCCUAAUUCCUAUGGUCCAACCGGCCUAAGGUUUGCUAGGUCCACUAAGACUCAACCCUAGUCUCUGAUACCAAUUUAAGCUGUCAGGCCCCGGGACCGGCGGAGGCCCUCCCGGUGGCGUGCCCAGACCCGCCAUAUGUCUACACAUACAAGUCGUCUACAAUAAAAGCGGAAGUAAAAGCACGAAUAACCUACAACUAGAGAUAUCAGAGCAAGUAUGAUUCUAUCAUCUAUAAAGAAGGAAUACAAAGAUCACAACUAGACCAUAGAAGUAAAACAUAAGGUAGUACAAUAUCUGUCCAAAAAGUACACAAAAGGGGUGGUCUCUAGUACACUGGUACAGCUCUCACCUCUUCAAAAUAAAAACAUCGAGAGGUAGACCACCUAGCGACUCGUCACUCGCUGAAGAGCUAGCUUGAAGCCACGCCCUUCCCUCGGUCCCUAGCCUCUCCCGGCGUGGAAGACUCUGAAAGAAAACAUAAAACAGAGGGCGUGAGAACUAUAAUUUAUAGUUCCCAGUGGGCAAUUACUGACCUCAGCUCAAUGCACCACUAGGCCCCAAAAGAAAAGGGUAAGUAACGACAAUAAUAAUAAACAAUAAAGAGCGAGUAUAAGAACUGCUGAAAGAAAGCAUAAAUGAAAUGCUAUACUGCUAUGUCUCAAGUAAGCAUGAUGUCAUGAUGAUGUAUAUCUACGCUAUCAUAAGAUGAUAUGUCCAAUGCAUACUAAUAUGCCAUAACAUAAUGAACAAGUAAACCUCACGAUGCAAUAUGUCAAUGCAUAAGGAGUAAGCUCUAUCAAAGCAACCCAGUAUACUAUGAUGCAAUGAAUGAAACAGGCAAGUAUACUAUAUAUCCCAAUGCUAUGUCAUGAGCAUGUCAAGUAAUCCAACUACUAAGCCUAUCUAGUAGUGAUUAUUCAUUCUCAACAUUGUGUCGAUUCCCAUUUCCAAUUAAGGACCUACCAAAGGUAGUCCAGCUUGUGCCGCCUAAGUGCCUGUGGUAGCCCAACAUUCCUACUCUUGGAAUGUGUCUGUCCCACUCGACCCCGUAGGCUUCUCAAUACCGCACGAGCGAACAUAGGUCGCAUAGGCUAACUCCGGAGUGCUGGCUUGUAGGGAGCGACCAUCACAAGCAUGUGCGAAUGAGCACAAAUGGCAAGCAAGCGUAGUCAACGUCUCAAGUACCCAAUCAUCAUGUCUCUAACAUGGUACAGUCACUAGCAUCUCGAAGAUCUAGUUCUAAGUCACAAGUGAAGUUCCAAUGUUCUCUAGGUCUAGUGCCCCUUUAUGACACUUAGACAUUCAAUAAAUACGCACAUUCCGCAUUCCUCAAUGGCCCUAUCCA
rnacentral:lncRNA from 1 species